GGCGGUGUAGCUCAGCGUGGUAGAGCGCUCGGCUCUUGGACCGAGUGGCCGCUGGUUCAACCCCAGCCGCCGCCG
rnacentral:tRNA from 1 species